rnacentral:sRNA from 1 species
GCAGGGUGCAGUGGUGCACACCUGUAAUCUCAGUGACUUGGGAGGCUGAGACAGGAGGAUUUCGAGUUAAGACCCAGCCUCAGCAAUGGUGAGGCACUUAACAACUCAGUGAGACCCUGUCUCUA